rnacentral:rRNA from 1 species
AUUGAACGCUGGCGGCAGGCCUAACACAUGCAAGUCGAACGAGUGGCGGACGGGUGAGUAAUGUCUGGGAAACUGCCCGAUGGAGGGGGAUAACUACUGGAAACGGUAGCUAAUACCGCAUACAAUCGGAUGUGCCCAGACUGGAUGAGCUAGGUGGUGGGGUAACGGCUCACCUAGGCGACGAGCCCGAGCUGGUCUGAGAGGAUGACCAGCCACACUGGAACUGAGACACGGUCCAGACUCCUACGUGAGGCAGCAGUGGGGAAUAUUGCGCAAUGGGCGCAAGCCUGAUGCAGCCAUGCCGCGUGUAUGAAGAAGGCCUUCGGGUUGUAAAGUACUUUCAGCGAGGAGGCGUUACUCGCAGAAGAAGCACCGGCUAACUCCGUGCCAGCCGCCGCGGUAAUUC